UCCAGCAUCUUGAAGACUUUAUAUACACCUCCUAACAACAUGUUUAGUCUUACAAAUUAUCCCCAAUUGACCACUUAUUGAAAGAGAAAGCAAAAAGGAAAAGAGAGAAGCAGAAACAAGGAGCUGAAAUUGAAUUUCUGGAUAGGUGAUUUUCUGACGUUGAGUGAAAAAGGAAAGUGAUAUAAUCUCCGUAAGAGCUUGUGCACACACAAGGGCAAAAAGGUGAGCAUGGAACUAUGUAGAGAGCACGGCUAGC